rnacentral:snRNA from 1 species
AUUUCUGUAUCAGUUUAAUAUCUGGUCAAGAUAUUAAACUAAUUUUUGCACAUAGGCUUGUGGUUAGGAAUUUAUUCCACCCCUGCCACGGGUUGGCCUGCUGUUGCACUACUUGGAGGAUCGGCCCACAAAAU